rnacentral:rRNA from 1 species
GAUGAACGCUGGCGGCGUGCUUAACACAUGCAAGUCGAACGGUGAAGCUCCAGCUUGCUGGAGUGGAUCAGUGGCGAACGGGUGAGUAACACGUGGGCAACCUGCCCCUGACUCUGGAAUAAGCGCUGGAAACGGCGUCUAAUACUGGAUACGAGAAGGGUCCGCAUGGGCACUUUCUGGAAAGUUUUUCGGUUGGGGAUGGGCUCGCGGCCUAUCAGCUUGUUGGUGAGGUAAUGGCUCACCAAGGCGACGACGGGUAGCCGGCCUGAGAGGGCGACCGGCCACACUGGGACUGAGACACGGCCCAGACUCCUACGGGAGGCAGCAGUGGGGAAUAUUGCACAAUGGGCGAAAGCCUGAUGCAGCGACGCCGCGUGAGGGAUGACGGCCUUCGGGUUGUAAACCUCUUUCAGCAGGGAAGAAGCGAAAGUGACGGUACCUGCAGAAGAAGCACCGGCUAACUACGUG